rnacentral:rRNA from 1 species
AGGACGAACGCUGGCGGCGUGCUUAACACAUGCAAGUCGAACGGAAAGGCCCGCUUGCGGGUACUCGAGUGGCGAACGGGUGAGUAACACGUGGGCAACCUGCCCUCAGCUUCGGGAUAACACUUGGAAACAGGUGCUAAUACCGGAUAAUAACUUUUCAUCGCAUGGUGGAUGGUUCAAAGUUUUUCGGCUGAGGAUGGGCCCGCGGCCUAUCAGCUUGUUGGUGGGGUAAUGGCCUACCAAGGCGACGACGGGUAGCCGGCCUGAGAGGGCGACCGGCCACACUGGGACUGAGAUACGGCCCAGACUCCUACGGGAGGCAGCAGUGGGGAAUAUUGCGCAAUGGGCGGAAGCCUGACGCAGCGACGCCGCGUGAGGGAUGACGGCCUUCGGGUUGUAAACCUCUUUCAGCUCUGACGAAGCGCAAGUGACGGUAGGAGCAGAAGAAGCACGGCCAACUACGUGCCAGCAGCCGCGGUAA